GUGACGUUAUUCCUUUCAGGAGCUCCACAAUUUGGGUUUCACACUGGAUAAAGAGCAAGACUUAAGAAUCCAGUGGCAUUCAACGCCGGCAGAGCUCCCCUGGAGAAUGGAAGCGAGGCCUCCACCUCCUUCCUAGCAUGCCUGUUACUGCUUGGAAACGGCUAAGUGGUCCUUGCCAGGGUCACUCUCCCCAAAACAAGAAUAUAGGCUGCGGAAUCAGUGGAACAAAGACAGAGAAGACACCAGCUGCUUCGGAGUUCAGAGAUGGUCUUCGAGGGCCUAGAACAAUGACAAAGAAUAUAUUCCUCCUGCACUGCUCCGCUAACAGGUUACUCCAAAAGCAGCCAUUUCAAGCAGCACAGAUUUCUUGUCCUCUAGUUAUGACAUCCAGAAAUCUAUAGCUGAGUCUAUAGGGCAAAGGAGAAAGCGUCGGCAGUGAAGCCCCAGGGAGACGCGGUCUGCCUUCCUUGGCCCCCGACCAUCCUUCAGACCAGCCGUAUAACAUCUUUCCUUUCUGUCUCUGCUUUCCCUUGAUUCAUUAUCACCUAGACUUUGUCUGACUAUAGCCUCUUUCCUCCUUACAAGGCGUCUUGUGACUGUAUCGGGCCCAUGCACGUGAGCCAGCGUAACCCUUUUUUGCUGUUUUAUUUUUUAAUACUACAUGUUUGCCGUAUAUAAUGACCACAUUCCUCACAGGGAUUUGUAACUGUACAUAGUAUAUUUAAUUAUUUCCUUCCCACUCUGCUUUCCUCUUUUCAACCCUUCCCCUCCCCAUUGAAAGAAGCUUUGUUGCCAUUUUUCCUUCCAUUCUUUGUGUUUUCUAAAUCCCUUUUCCCUUUCCCGCAUCUCUCCCCUUCCCUUGUUUCUGUUCUCAUUUGAAUGUGCUUCCUCCUUCCCUGUGUCUAUUCCUCUUUUACUCCUUCUUUACACUUACAGUUUCUCACACAAGACAAACAAUGCAACAGGUAAGCUUGUGCAUCUGAUUUGUUUCCUUUAAAACUGUGGUCUGAAGGUGCAUCCCUUUACCUACAAGUGACUCAAGUCUCCGGUGGCUGUGGGCCCAGGCAGAUAAUCCAGCAUAAUCUUUUUUAUUAACCUCUUGUUGCUACGUAAGGUAAUCUAUUGACCAGUUUCAAGAAUUCGGAUAUGGACAUUUUAAGCGGGACAAGACCUACAACUGAAGUAUAGCGAGAAAAUUAUUUUUAACCUUCUUUUUAGCAUGAACCAUACUCUAGGCAAUAGUUAAGUGCUUUCCAGUAUACUCAUUAAUUUAUCUUAAAAAAUUCAGUGAGGUGUGAUUUUCAAAUUUUAAUUAAAAAAUGACUUUGCAGA
rnacentral:lncRNA from 1 species